rnacentral:rRNA from 1 species
UUUGUUUGGAGAGUUUGAUCCUGGCUCAGGACGAACGCUGGCGGCGUGCUUAACACAUGCAAGUCGAACGGAAAGGCCCUUCGGGGUACUCGAGUGGCGAACGGGUGAGUAACACGUGGGUGAUCUGCCCUGCACUUUG